AAUAAAAACAAAAUUUACAAAAUUAUCAUGUGGCUGCAUGUAUAUAUGUGCAAUGCAAGCAACAUCUACCCUAGCAUACCACAAAAAAGACAAAGACAGGUUCCAAAACUUAGCAUAGACAAAAUCUACCCUUGGACCUUGGCAUACCAAAAAAAAAAGAGACAAAAACAUGUUCCAAACAGAAGACAACAUUUCCCUCACGAAACCAUUACAAGAAAGAAAAAAGCUUAAUCCUCAUAUUAGUCCCUGUCUUUGUGUCGCCGUCUGAACCAGGUCCCUGACCGGAAAAAUUUGUGGAUUAAAUCCCUCUCUUUAAAAAACGUUUGGAGCCAGUCUCUGCCGGAGCUUGGAGCUCCGGCGAGUGAUGAUGUAGCGUGCUGACUGUGUAAAUGAAGCUGACAUGGCACCCAAAUUUUUUUUUUAAUAAAAUUACCUCCAAAUUAAUCAAUUAAACUUAUUAAUGUCAAAAAAAAAAUCAAUUAAACUUAUUAACUAAAAGUUAAAUUAAAAUUAUUGAUUUUGAAUUAUCCUAAAACUAACCAAGAAUUUGAAACUCAAAUUAGGGUUCCAUUUCACCUUUCUUCCCCAAUUUCCUCCGUCCUCUCUUCUUCUUCACCACCCCAACAACCACCACCACCAACAAAGUCCCUUGCUCUGGACGGAGCUGAUGUCGCCGGAGCCGAGGCGGCGGGAGAAUCGUUAACCGGAGAGGACGAUGCGGCAGUUGGGGGACUCCGACCAGAUCUUGUGGAUGGUGUCCCACCGGGAGUCAGAGGAGGGCGCGUGGGGCUUGGCGGAGGCGGGUGGAGCGAGGUGGCGGAGGAAGAGCCUGUUAGGGUGGUUGUUUCAGUCCUUUUUUUGGAACCUCUGUAAUAGGCUGGGAGGUGUAUAACAGAUCUGGUUGUGAGGGACCUUGAAGCAUUGUCAGAUACAGAUUUCUAAGGAGAGAAAUUUCUCCAAUGGUACAGAAGCCGAGACCCAUGGAUCUAGUUCUGUUCUCAAAUGUUUCUGCUUCAUUUCUAUCAAGAACUCGCAGUGCAACGGAUGCAGUAGUACAACAAACUCGUACGUAGCAAGAAGAGGCCUGAUUUUCUUGUUCAGCUUUUCAAUGGAUCCCCACUAAGAACAUAGAUUAUUGGACCUUUUGUGGGGGAGAAAAACUUCACUAGUGAGUUUGUCUCCUCAUAAAUUGUAGACACCUUCAAUUACAAUACAAGUUUGUCCAAUCCAAUUUUGCAGUA